rnacentral:rRNA from 1 species
CACGUAGUUAGCCGUGGCGUCCUCCUCAGGUACCGUCAUUAUCGUCCCUGAAGACAGAGCUUUACAACCCGAAGGCCGUCAUCACUCACGCGGCGUUGCUGCAUCAGGGUUUCCCCCAUUGUGCAAUAUUCCCCACUGCUGCCUCCCGUAGGAGUCUGGGCCGUGCCUCAGUCCCAAUGUGGCCGAUCACCCUCUCAGGUCGGCUACGCAUCGUCGCCUUGGUGAGCCCGUUACCUCACCAACUAGCUAAUGCGCCGCGGGCCCAUCUCAUAGCGGAUUGCUCCUUUAAUUGCUACUUCAUGCGAAGCUACAAUCUUAUGCGGUAUUAAUCUCCCUUUCGGAAGGCUAUUCCCCUCUAUGAGGCAGGUUGCCCACGUGUUACUCACCCGUCCGCCGCUAGCUUUGUCCGAAGAACUCCACUCGCUCGACUUGCAUGUGUUAGGCACGCCGCCAGCGUUCGUCCUGACGUCCGAGGUACUACGAAACUCUACUGAACG